rnacentral:lncRNA from 1 species
GGGUCUGACGAGUUCUCUAUGACUUCUGUUAAGUCGGAACUCAGAUAGAAAGAUUAAAUCAUAUGAUAACUAUACCUAAGAGUUCACACUUUUAUUCUACUGGGUUAUCAUACUACUAGGUGUCACUGAUGGAUUGUAAGACUCGUCGGACGUCAUUUAGAUAAUUUGAUGAUCCUCGAAAGAUAGAGUUGGAUUUAUUCCAAUCCAUCGAAAAGAGUUUCGAUGAUAUUAUGAUGGAGAUCGCAAUAUAUCUCACUAC